rnacentral:rRNA from 1 species
UACACUCCUGCGGGAGGCAGCAGUGGGGAAUUUUACGCAAUGGGGGAAACCCUGACGUAGCGACACCGCGUGAGCGAAGAAGCCCUUUGGGGUGUAAAGCUCUGUCAGCUGGAACGAAAACAAUGACGGUACCAGCAGAGGAAGCAUCGGCUAACUACGUGCCAGCAGCCGCGGUAAGACGUAGGAUGCGAGCGUUGUCCGGAUUUAUUGGGCGUAAAGAGUUCGUAGGUGGUUUGUUAAGUUUGGUGUUAAAGAUCGGGGCUCAACCCUGGGACUGCACUGAAUACUGGCAGACUCGAGUGUGGUAGAGGCUAGUGGAAUUCCCAGUGUAGCGGUGAAAUGCGUAGAUAUUGGGAAGAACACCGGUGGCGUAGGCGACUAGCUGGGCCAUAACUGACGCUGAGGAACGAAAGCCAGGGGAGCGAAUGGGAUUAGAUACCCGUGUAGUCC